UUUUGCUGGCAGAUCUCUUGUGUG
rnacentral:piRNA from 1 species